CUCUUAUUUUAUGGAGCCUGUGUGUGUAAGCUGGAUAACUUACAUUUUUUGGCACCGGUGUGAAACUUCUCAUUUUAGGUGAUUUGGAAUUAUGUGAGCCUGAAAAUGUGGAUUGGAACUUAUGCAGAAAAAUGCCAUUUUUUAUAUGAGUAUGCCAAAGGCUUUGCCAGUUCCACCCCAGCUGCCUGAAUUGUCACCAACCACAGAAAAUACCAGCCUCAAAGGAAUUGCUCUUUGACAUUUAUGGGCUGCUAAAGUGAGGAUUUCAAAUACAUUCCUCAAGUACUGAUGGAAAAUGAUUCAGUGUGCCACAAAGCAUGAUGUGUUUUAUGACUGAAAGUAAAUUUUAGUGGGAAUCCUGCAGAAACAUGAAAUGGAAGAGGCUACCUUGGAUGCAGUCCUGUUUUCCAUCAGGCACUAUGCAUUGCUGCAUUGUUAAAGGAGGUACUACAGGUUCAACAUGUACUUCUCUGCAUACAACAGUAAGAAAACAAUAUUCUUUGAGAUACCUGGAUUCCCAGUGCAAGGAAAUGUUUGAGAAAUCCUGUUACUUAGCAAGAAGAUAAGAUUUCUAAAGAGAUGAAAAUGGGGCAAGAC
rnacentral:lncRNA from 1 species